UGUAAUUUCUUCUCUUAUUCCAUCAAAGUAAAAUUUGAUUUUAUUUAUCUUUUAAAUUGGAGAAAUGUCGAAAUUGUACGAAAAUGUGGUGGUAGUUUGUUCCAAUGACAAACUGCACGUAUAAAGAACUGUCUAUCCGAAACCGGAAGUAUCUAGUCCUGAAUGGUUUAAUACAACUUAGACGAGAUGAUCAGGAGAUAGUUAAUCUGUCAAAAAGAUAUUUUGGUUCAGCAAGAUAACCCAUUUGUAAAGAAAGGUGUGUACGAGUUCAAAUGUAACAUAUUUUCUGUAAAUGGGCUAAACUAGGCCGUGUGUGUACCGCAACGGUGGAAAUGGAAACGUUUUUCCCUGAAUACGUGCAACAAGUGAUAAAGCAUACAUUCCGAUGCUAUAAGCCCCAUCAAUCGUUCUCAUUUAAAUUGUGUCAAGAUUAGGCCCAAAAGAUAAUGAAAAUUGUGAUAAAUCGAAAAGGGGAAGAGCAAAAAAGAUACCAUCUACAUUUUAGCUUGUCAUUUUGGUUUCAAAAUUUUUGUAUAAAAAAAACCAAAGCGGCAAGUACAUUGACUUGUGUCAGAAUAUGAAAAUUUGUUGUAUAAUCGAAUGUUUCGCAAGCGUCUAUAUUGAUAAAAACAUAUGCAAAUUUUCUUCACAUAUACAUACUAAAAUUCCUACAAACUAUGCAAGGCUUAUUAUCUAAGGAUAUUAUCUGAGAAUCACUUAGAAUAAACAAUACAUUUCUGCCGUUAUUUCUA